rnacentral:rRNA from 1 species
GACGAACGCUGGCGGCGUGCUUAACACAUGCAAGUCGAACGGAAAGGCCCUGCUUUUGUGGGGUGCUCGAGUGGCGAACGGGUGAGUAACACGUGAGUAACCUGCCCUUGACUUUCGGAUAACUUCAGGAAACUGGGGCUAAUACCGGAUAGGAGCUCCUGCUGCAUGGGGGGGGUUGGAAAGUUUCGGCGGUUGGGGAUGGACUCGCGGCUUAUCCGCUUGUUUGGGGGGUAGUGGCUUACCAAGGCUUUGACGGGUAGCCGGCCUGAGAGGGUGACCGGCCACAAUGGGACUGCGGGACGGAGCAGACUGCUAUGGGAGGCAGCAGGGGGGAAUAUUGCACAAUGGGCGGAAGCCUGAUGUAGCAACGCCGCGUGCGGGAUGACGGCCUUCGGGUUGUAAACCGCUUUCGCCUGUGACGAAGCGUGAGUGACGGUAAUGGGUAAAGAAGCACCGGCUAACUACGUG